CAUUCUUUAUACCUAUUUUAUACUAUUCUUAUCGUCUUAACACAAACGUGCUACUGCUACGUGUACAAAAAGGCACACAUAACCAUAUGUGAUCUACUGAUCUUACAUAUAUCAUGUAGAACAAAUAGAAAAUAAAAGUGUACUAAAUAAAUAGAAAACCGUAUAACCUGUAGAACGCCGAAAGACUUACCACGGAACGAUCCUACUGGGUUUAAUACAAUCACAGCCAUGCAAAUCAACCACUACCAAAUCGCCCUCGCUGUUGACGUAGACAUUGAAUGCAUUGAAUGGGUAACCUACAACAAGCUUGAGCGAACUGUUGUGUCCAUUGCAGGCACUACACAGGACAAAUUGAGAAACCCUACAAGUCAGGUAACGAAUAUAACGACCAUGUCCUCCCACUCCGUCACAGUUUCGAUGAAUCGUAAGAUUCUAACACUUGGUCAUAUACCCAAACGUGUAGACUCACGACCACUAGAAGAAGCGCUUCUUCAAUUUACACUAUACCUCGUCUAAUUUUAACUGGUACUCGAGCAUGAUAAUUAACUACCGAGUUCCCUUCUCUGUCGCCGUAUAAGAAUCAACUUUAGUCAAACUACAAAAAGUCCUUACUUAAGGUGAGCAAUAAGUUAUGGUGAUACUCUUUUCAUCACUUUACGACCGGCAGACGUUUUACAUGACCAGGCAGAGCGCCAGAGUGGGGUUUUUGUCUCCUCUCCUCGUCCCUCGAGGAGGGAGUGUGAACAGCCGAGGUUCCUCGGGGCGGUGGUACGUACCUCUUCUCCUCGCGCCUCGAGGCGGCGGCGCAUUCCGUUUGGUUCCGACGUUGCAAACUUAUAAUAUGAGUCAGUCAACGAGCUGAUGAAUGUCAGGAUAAUGAACUCUGAAUUAUGAGCCAGUCGACGGCACAUGUAACAAGACUGUAUUUACGGUGGUACAGAUACGCGUUCAGUCUUCCUUGAAUGGUAGAUUUUUCUACAGAUUAAUCACACCAUGUACGAAGUCAUGACGUUCAACCUCAUCGUUACGGAUGGACGUGUAACUACGAGUAUGGACUGCCACUCUCUUCAACGUAGAACUCUAAGUUAAGAAACUAAAUACUACGGGUCGGUAUACGUGUUACUCUUGUAUAUAGGAAAAAGAUUAGAGACAAAAAGAUUCAACUUUGAUAAAGAAACAAUGAACCAAACUCCUGCCGUUUUCUGACCGGAAAACGGCCUGUCUCUUUUCUGGCCGAAUAAAAUAAAAUUGUGUUGUAUCGUUCGAGGUAUAUAAAGUCAAUCAUGUACCGUCCUACGUCUGAUACACGUCAUAAUCACCACAAAUCUGAGGUUUUACCGUCAUAAUCACCACAAAAUUUCUCUUUCUAAGCAUUUACUACAACAAAAGAUGAUUCUUUUAAGUCAUCAGCCACAGUGGUAACUCACGGUUACACUACCCGUAAAUUCUAAAUCUAAGUCUUGAGGUCCCAAGUUGUGUCUACCGAAGUGAAGUUAUAAAAAGGGGUACACCAACUACCUACGAAGUGAAUUCAAAACUACGUAGCACAUAUGACUUAGGAUGUAAUACAACUCUUUAAAUCUAUAUAUUUUCAUAGACAUUCGGCUGGUGUAUGGUGUGUAAAAUUUCCAAAUAAAAGAGAUGUAGACAUGAUCGAAACUUGGUUCAUAAAGAUGAAAGAAAAAUAAACAACGGUUUUUAAUUCCUUACAACUAGACUACAUAAAAAUGUUGUUAGUCGCACAACUGCACCUCGAACAGGUAAGCGCUGUAUGGAACAAAUACACCCUCCCGACCUACUAACUUUCAGCCUGCAUGGUAAUUGCUGCCAACACUCGUACCUAACCCCUCUGCUUCUAAUACCCUCGUGUUCUUUCUUUUCUUCUUCUUUUGUGCAACGCCUCGCACCGCCGGAGGGUCAAGAACCGGAGACAGCCCACCGAUCUGGUGCGGUGUAUCUUCUGCUCCCAAUAGAGUCAAUCCCCGGAGCCGUUGCUGCUGCUCUUACCGGUCCAGCUUUAGUGUCCACGCACUGCCGACCUCUGCCGGCGUCCCAGGUCUCUACCCCGCGUGCCGCCUACACAAGAUGAAGGGUAACUCUCUUAAGACCACCCAAAGAGAUUAUCAUACGGUUUGAUUGAUUGUUAACAUCAAUUGAUAUGACGUCGCCGCGUGAAGAAUAAAACCCUAAUUCGGAUUACGAACGAGAUGGUUAGUUCAUCAUGACAACACUUGAGUAUCCAUUGUGGUAAGAGAUAGGUUAUGUCACGUAUCGAAAUGCAUCUAACCGUACCGACUAGAAGAGAAGGUAAUAAUAACGAUGAAAUACAAAAUUAAGGUAACAAGAAGUGAACUAGAAGCCUAGGUACAAGGUCACUGAAGGACUUGAAAAUAACAACUACCCUUCAAAGAUAAAAUUAAAAAGAAAGUGAAAUAGAAGUCCAAAUGUCCCAAUACCUAGGUACAAACUCAAAUAUCUUCACACAAAUGAAUAGAUCGAAAGACAAGAGUAAGACAAACUUUAGGUAGCUGUAAAAGGUUUUAAGGGAAUAGUUACGUGCUCAAAGGAAAGAAUUAAUUGUACACUUCAAGGAACAAGUUGUUACUAAAAAUCCGGUUUAGUCUCCUACGUCCAACAUGGUAACUUCUCUCUUUUAAUACUCUUUUGAUGUUAUAUACUCUCCGAACCAACUAUGGAAGUCUUUUCGAUGUAGGGUUAUUACAACACCCAAUGUGGAAGACCGAACUUUUAGUCGAAGUAUUGUUCUUUCAACGUUGUGAUAUAACCACCUAUUAACGUAAUUUAUUUAUGACAUUACCACGUAAACAAAAAUCUAAAGAUAAUUGGACCAUGGUUUUUCAACCUCUCGUUCCUGGAAUAUAGUCACCACAAAUAUGAGGUUUUAACGUCAUAGCCACCACAAAUAUGAGGUUUUAACGUCAUAGUCACCACAAAUCUAAGGUUUUGGAUAGAUCUCAUUAGACAGUAAACAAGAAGUUUCUCUAACGCAUAUACAAUGGGGUACAGUCCAAGUCAUGGAGACCCAAGUUCUAGAUAUCGAUGUUCAUAAAAACUGAUCUAACACCAGUAUAUACACGAUUAAGUACGACUAUGCGUACGAGAAACUUGAAAACUUUCCUUACCUACUUUAGUAGUAGUCUCGAAGACGUUUACCCUAGAGAGGACAUUCGGGACGAUAUCAAUGAAGUGACCAAACUUGAAACUCAUUGAACUAUAUACACAGAG
rnacentral:rRNA from 1 species